UUGGUGAUGGACAGGGAAGCCUGGUGUGCUGCAGUCCAUGGGGUCGCAAAGAGUCAGACACGACUAAGCAACUUAACAACACCAACUGACAACAACUCCAGUAGGUCAAUAAACUUGGUAGCAAGUUAACCAAUGGGCUUUCCUAAAAAGUUCUCCUUCCUGAAGGGUUAUCCUAUAAAGUAGUGUGGCCUUUUUCCUGCCUUAUCUUUUCAUUUGGCCUAGGAACUUAGGUAUAGAGAAAGAAACAUGACACACAUAUAAGUACACAUGAUACCCUCCCCUUCCUCAUGUUUAAAUUCCAGUGAUUCAUUUAGUUGAAAAUACUGAGUGCUAAGCACUGAGGACCAGCAACAGAUGUGGUUACUCCUUCCUACGUGGAGCUUCAGUUCUACUGAAGGAGUUGCUGAGGGUUGGGUACUCUGACUCUGGGCAUAAACUUACUCCUCUUGGGUGCUGCUGCUGCUGCUGCUGCUAAGUUGCUCUAUCUAAAUUCAUCUAAUCUUUUGGGUUCCUGAACUGAAUUCCAACAUGUGAGGUGUGUAUGUGUGUGUGUUAGCAGCGGUGAGGUGGACACAUCCCCAUAACACCAAGCAAACCUUGGGAUACCAGCCGGGUGUCCUACAAUUCAAUCCAUUCUGACACUAUCUACCCAGAGAUAGCAUCAGAUUCCACAGGUUGAGGGUUCGGUCCUGUAAGACUGACCCCCACCCCCAGAUGGCAGUCAUAAGCCCAGGCUGUUAACUGUGCUCUGACCAACCAACUACAGAUUGGAGGUUGCCACAGACCCUUCCUUGAGUUUAAUUGAUUUGCUAGAGUGGCUCACAGAACUCAGGAAACCUGUUAUAUUACUGAACUUGAAAGCUAAGUCACUCAGCCGUAUCUGACUCCUUGCAACCCCAUGGACUGUAGCCUGGCAGGCUCCUCCAUCCAUGGGAUUAUCCAGUUAUCUGUGGACAUCUUGGCACCUCUACAAACUAUAAUCUCCCUGAAGCCUGAAUGAGCCUGGAAGAAGGGGCCCCUAAACCUCACAAGAUGGAUCACAGCUCCAACUAACAAGUUAAUUUCAGCCUGGUGAGAUCCUGAGCAGAAUGCCCAGGUAAACCCUGUCCAGACUCGAGACCCUCAGAAACUGUCAGUUAAUAAACAUUCUGCUCCAAGCCACAAAA